AACGAACGCUGGCGGCGCGCCUAAUACAUGCAAGUCGAGCGAGAAGACGUAGCAAUACGUUUGUAAAGCGGCGAACGGGUGAGGAAUACAUGGGUAACCUACCCUCGAGUGGGGAAUAACUAGCCGAAAGGUUAGCUAAUACCGCGUACGCUCCUUGGACUUCGGUUCAGGGAGGAAAGCGAUACCGAGGGUAUCGCGCUCUUGGAUGGGCUCAUGUCCUAUCAGCUUGUUGGUGAGGUAACGGCUCACCAAGGCUUCGACGGGUAGCUGGUCUGAGAGGACGAUCAGCCACACUGGCACUGCGACACGGGCCAGACUCCUACGGGAGGCAGCAGUAAGGAAUAUUGCGCAAUGGGCGAAAGCCUGACGCAGCGACGCCGCGUGGGGGA
rnacentral:rRNA from 1 species